CCUACGGGAGGCAGCAGUGGGGAAUAUUGGACAAUGGGCGAAAGCCUGAUCCAGCAAUUCCGCGUGUGUGAAGAAGGCCUUCGGGUUGUAAAGCACUUUAGGUUGGGAAGAAAAAGCUCCGGUGAAUAUCCGGAGUGUUGACGGUACCAACAGAAUAAGCACCGGCUAACUCUGUGCCAGCAGCCGCGGUAAUACAGAGGGUGCAAGCGUUAAUCGGAUUUACUGGGCGUAAAGCGUGCGCAGGUGGUUUCGUAAGUCGGAUGUGAAAGCCCCGGGCUCAACCUGGGAACUGCGUUCGAUACUGCGAGACUAGAGUUUGGUAGAGGGUGGCGGAAUUCCCGGUGUAGCGGUGAAAUGCGUAGAUAUCGGGAGGAACAUCAAUGGCGAAGGCAGCCACCUGGGCCUGAACUGACACUGAGGCACGAAAGCGUGGGUAGCAAACAGGAUUAGAUACCCUGGUAGUCCACGCCGUAAACGAUGAGAACUUGACGUCGGCCCGUUUACGAGUCGGUGUCGUAGCUAACGCGAUAAGUUCUCCGCCUGGGGNGGUACGGCCGCGAGUAGAACGUACAANAGAGUAGUACGCGNGAGACGUGCCGACGACGACGACGAGGGAGGAGG
rnacentral:rRNA from 1 species